CUAUGAACCGCACCAGAACUGUGGCAAAGAGAAAAGAUGAUCAGAAACAAGGAAGCUGACAGUGACGUGUCUCUGUGAAUCACACAAGGACAGCAGAGCUGGAGUUACAAAUGGUGACUACUCGGGGAUACUCCAGGUUUGAGCCUCCCAGCCCUGUUUUGCAAGCCACCAUACAGCUGCAUGCAUGUGCACACAGACAGAGAUUCCCACAAUGUUAAAUAAACAGUAUAACACAAUAACAUCCUAUGGUGACAUCAAUAGCAGAUUAACCU